rnacentral:rRNA from 1 species
CCUACGGGAGGCAGCAGUGAGGAAUAUUGGUCAAUGGACGAGAGUCUGAACCAGCCAAGUAGCGUGAAGGAUGACUGCCCUAUGGGUUGUAAACUUCUUUUAUAUGGGAAUAAAAUGUUCCACGUGUGGGAUUUUGUAUGUACCAUAUGAAUAAGGAUCGGCUAACUCCGUGCCAGCAGCCGCGGUAAUACGGAGGAUUCGAGCGUUAUCCGGAUUUAUUGGGUUUAAAGGGAGCGUAGGUGGAUUGUUAAGUCAGUUGUGAAAGUUUGCGGCUCAACCGUAAAAUUGCAGUUGAAACUGGCAGUCUUGAGUACAGUAGAGGUGGGCGGAAUUCGUGGUGUAGCGGUGAAAUGCUUAGAGAUCACGAAGAACUCCGAUUGUGAAGGCAGUUCACUGGACUGCAACUGACACUGAGGCUCGAAAGUGUGGGUAUCAAACAGGAUUAGAUACCCGAGUAGUC